GUAGGAGGCAAGCGUUAUCCGGAUUUACUGGGCGUAAAGCGUGUGUAGGCGGUAUGGUAAGUCGGACGUGAAAGCUCCUGGCUCAACUAGGAGAGGCCGUUCGAUACUUCCAAACUUGAGGGCAGUAGAGGGAGGUGGAAUUUCAGGUGUAGCGGUGAAAUGCGUAGAUAUCUGAAGGAACACCAGUGGCGAAGGCGGCCUCCUGGACUGACCCUGACGCUAAGACACGAAAGCUAGGGGAGCGAACGGGGGAUUAGACACCCCGGUAGUCCUAGCUGUAAACGAUGCAGACUUGGUGUUGGGAGUGUAAAAACUUUCAGUGCCGGAGCUAACGCGUUAAGUCUGCCGCCUGGGGACUACGACCGCAAGGUUA
rnacentral:rRNA from 1 species